rnacentral:rRNA from 1 species
GAUCAGGUAGGGAUACCCCGCUGACUAAAGCAUAUCAAUAAAGCGGAGCCCGCUAGAACUUAAA